UACAUUAUUAAAACACAGUAAACAUUUACAGUAAAUUUCUUUAUCGCCAUUUUUGUUACGUCCGGAUAAAUUCUCGGAAGAUAUAUGUAUACUCUUCAGGUAUACCAGGUUAUUCAGCCCAAACGCAUCACCUGAAAUCGUUUUACCAUAAGAUUCAAAUGGGCACGUUAACUUUUGGUGGUUUGUUUGUCUGCAUAAGUCUGUAUAUAUUCAACAGUAUAUCCCAGUAGAUAUUCUUGUUGGUAACUUGACAAUUGUCAUUAAACAUAAUGUAGACAAUAAAGGCUUGGCGGCGCUGUAUUCGAUGCUUUUAACACGGGAUCUACGACUUUACCCGAGUAAUUACAGUUUUCGUCAUUAUCUCUACCUGAAAUCUACCUCCAUGAGGUUAUGAACGUGUGAGGUUGUGUUCUAGGAACAGAAAGCUAUAUGCAGCCGAUGCGAAGGAAGCAGGAUAAAACAAAGGAGAGCAUUCAAAAAUUCCAGCUUAACAAAGAGAGUAGGAUUAUUUGGAACAAUAAUAAUCACCACUGGACAGUUGCUCAUCGAUAGUGGAGUAUGAAAAUAAAAAAUAACAAUAGCACACAAAUUAAGAGGAAUUGGUUUUCAAGUCGAGGAAAUAUGGAUUGGGACAUUACUUUUAACUGGAUGUAAAGUUUAACAAGGAAACAAAUGGAGAUAACAACAUAACAUUAUAUUCGAGGGGCCACCAAACCCGUUGUGAAAUUAGACCAAGAUGCUACUCAUGCAAUAAGAGUGGACCACAACCCAGCGAUUGGUGCAUUGAUUUAAGCACAUCAUCUCACAUGACUUGACGGAGUGAUUUAAUCCCUUUGAAAAAAAAAUCUGCAGUUCACAUCACUACAGCAAAUAAAGUGAAGCUGUCAGCACAAGAAAUCGGUGACACAAUAAUUACAAUAAAAAGGUACGGGGAGCCAAUAAAAUUAAAAUAAAAUAUGUAAUCCUUAUGUCUGGCGUUGCUGCAAAUCUACUCAACAUAGAUCAAUGGCAUAUAGAGUUGACACGCCUAAACGGAUGAAGGCGGAAUGCUAUGGCAUCGGAGAUUCGGGCAUCGAAACAAGAAAGGACUUGAAAUGCUGCGGAAACCACUAAAAUACAAUUCAGCGAUAGAAAUAAGGAAGCAUGCGAGGCGUGGGUCUAAGGAAAACACCAAAGGAAGCCGUUUAGAGGUCAUGAAAAGCGUGCGGAGGGGAUCCUGGACCUUGUGCAUUCAGAUAUUUGUGGUCCUAUAGAACGGAAUUCCAUAGGAGAGUCGAGGUAUUUAUUAAGUUAAUUGGCGCGCGACAUUCAUGUCCAAAACUUUAUUCAAGAAUAAAAACAUUAAAUAUUUGUGAUAAUAUUGCAACGAAAUAUCCUUUGAAUUUUUCUUUUUAAUAUUUAUGAAAUAUUUAUAUAUUUGUUACUUUCUCCAUUUUUCCAUUGGUUUUUUGUUCAUUUGAGAUUUUAUAUAAGAUUUUCGUCUAAAGUAAUAAAUAAUGAAUAUACGAAAACCAUCGGAUAUGAUUUUACAAUCCAAAUAUAAUAAAAUUCUGCAUUUCCUUCUUCAAUUUAUCGUCGAUGAUAUCAAAUUAUUUCAUACGUUUGCGCGCGUUCUACUCCAGGCACAUAACUUGGAUUUAAGGGCACUACUACCACGCCGUUCACCACAGUUUGCUUGUCCGACAAAAUUUUGACGAAUUUUUCGUUUUAACUAUUAAUGUUUUGGAAACGAAACGGGAAAGAAUUUUGAAAUUUUUUACGUGCAUCUUUUUAUAUCAAUUCAUUAUAUAUAUGUUUCACCAUCCAACGACUGGUUUAGAUGAAAAAAAUGCAAUGUGUGUGCAGUAUACUUACUACGUAGGGAAUUCAUGUAAAAACUAUAAAUUUUGAAACGUUUUCCCCAUACUUCUGAACGGUCGAUCUUAAUAAAAUUAGGCUCAUUUUAAAGGUACUAUUUCAAAGAAUUAGGCAUACAAUUUUUGAAGAAAUGCAACGAAAAUUAUUUUACACGACACUACCUUAACCAUCAUAGACGAUUGAACGCGUAAAGUAUUUAUUUAUACCAUGAAACACAAAAGUGAAGUUACUGAAAAUAUUUUUAAAAAAUGUAAGGAAAAUCAAACAGGCAGAAAAAUCAAGGUUCUAAGGCCAGACAGUGGGACGGAAUAUGUGAAUAGAGUUUCAAGAAAUGCUACAAGAAUCUGGAAUUCAACAUCAGAAGACAAUACCGUAUAGUCUCUAGCAAAACGGUCGCGCGGAAUGAUUCAAAGGACGAUUUUACAGCGCGCAUGGACUAUAUUGUUCGAGGUCAAGUUAUCAAAGGAGUAUUGGGCAGAAAUGUAUGUCACUGCGGUCUAUUUAAUAAAUAGAUUGCUUGCAAAAGCAAUUCCAGGUAAAACACCUGAGGAAGUUUGGUCUGGUGUAAAACCAGAUUUAAGCCACGCAAGAAUAUUCGGUUUCAUGCCGUUGAUGUACAUACUAAGAGAGAAGAAAAAAUUUUGAUUCAAAAUCGAACGAGAACAUAUUUAUUGUCUACUAUGAAGAUUCAGUGGGUUACAAACUCAUCGACCCUAUAAGCAAAAUGAUAAGAAGUCGAAACUUCAUUUUUUUUUAGAAAAAUCAGUAAAUAAAAAACAAUUAAAAGAAAAAGAUUCUGCGGGAACUUCAUCCUUCGUACCGAUGAUAGAAGAGUUUUUGCCUGAAGAAACAAUUGAAGAGUGUCCUGAAGAAAUCGUCAAAAAUAAAGUAGCUGAAGAAACGGUCAAGAAAAUUCUCGGAGAAUCUCAUGAAAAGUGGUUUCCCGAUAGCGAACCACCAUCGAAAAUACCAGGGCGGCAAAGAUGAACAACAGGGGGUGAGAAAAUCAACGCGUACAAUUAAGCCUGGACAAAGAUCAUGAUUCGUGUCAUGUCUAGCUUAUGAUCGGCACUUGUCGGACCCGCAGACCGCAAAAAAAACGAUGAAUAGUCCGGACAAGGAUUUCUGGGUUCGAGAAGAAGAAAAAUGACUCAUCAAAACUUGUACGUGGGAGCUGGCGGAUUUGCCACCUAAAAGAAAACUGUUAGAUACUAGAUGGAUAUUCAAGACUAAAAUGAAAGCUGACGGAUAAAUUGAACGACACAAGGCAAGAUUGGUAGUGCGUCGGUGGGCUCGAAGUUAAGGUAUAGAUUAUACUGAGACGUAUUCACCUAUAAUGAGAUAUAGUUCUCUACGUUUUUUGUUUGCACUAGCAGUGUUGUCGAACAUCUGGAUGUCAUGACCGUUUAUUUACACGGAGACUUCGAAGGGGAGAUUUUUUUACGACCGCCACGGGAAUUGAUAGAGAAUCAGGAAAGGUAUGGAGGUUGAUAACAAGGGAGCCAUUGACAUAACUGAUAAAUUAAGAGAGAAGUCGAAGGGAGGGCGAGGGUAUGUCGCUUAAUGUAGGAGAGAAGGGUCAAUGAAACAAGAUAGGUGAAGCUGUAGUAUUACCUCGAAUGUUUCUCAAAACUGCAUACGCAAGUAGCUACGAGGUAAUGUUAUUGUGCACGCAUCUCAAAGAAUCGGAAAUUAGCACCGAUGACAAUGAGUGAACCGGUACAAAGAAACCAGGACCGUCGAAGAUCUUUUAGAUAGGAGGAAUCAUCCUAGGUACACAUUAAAGUAAGCGCAAAAGGUACUGGCCAGAAAGCGUACAGAAGUCAGUCAGUACCAUCAAGCGUCGCCUGAUUGUUGCUGGAUACGGAUAAAGAAACAAUGGUCAAACCUUUUUUGAAACCAAAAAACCUACAAAAAUGACUUAAUUGGGCGAAAUAGAACAAUGAACGUAACUGGUCCAACGUCAUCUUUCUGACGAAGCCUCUUUUUGGACAUGGACUUCGAGGACAUGUGCUAUGGACGUUCUGUAAAGCACCCCACCCCGGAUAGUCACAACUGGAUACUUCAAGAAGACAAUGAUCCAAAACAUUGGAGCCGUCUUUGUACCGCGUGAAAAGCCGAAAACAAUAUUGUGACCUUAAAUUGGCUCUCGCAGUUACCUGACACAAAUCCGAUGGAAGAUAUCUGGUCGACCAUGAGGAUGAAACUUUGAGAGAGAUGUAUAUUUACUUUUAAGCAGCUAUCUUAUUAUAUUUGCAGCAUUUAGAAAUUAUUUUUGGCACUCCGGACCGAAGACCUCGAUGCCGCCAGACUAUAAUCAAUAAUAAUGGAAAUUGGACGUUAUAUUAGGUACAUGCAUUCUAAUGCAUGUAGUGUACUCUAAGAUUAUAAGAUUGAUUUCUAAAACUAAAUUUAUUUCUAGAAAUUUUAACCUGUACGAUCUUGUACCACAGACUGUAUAUUACCGUUACCAUUCUUUUAAAUUAUUACAAAAUAUAGCUAGACCAGACAUUCCGAAAUAACGAGAUCUUAUCUCAAUUGGGAUAAUCAUCGUUAUAUGAGAUGGUUAAUAAAAAAUUUUUUAUUAGCUGCCAUAUUUGUGUCGUGUUUAUCGUCUUAAAUAAUCCUCCGUUUUAAAUCCCAGUAUAAUAAAACCUUGUAUGUACAUAGAUUCAACCUCAAACCAAAAGGUUGUAAUAGCGAGGUUGCGUAACCCACACCCACCAAGGAUUUAUGUAUAAUGUAACAGCUACGAUGGCCGAACGAAAGAUCGACAUGACAGCUAUCGUAAUAUAAGUAAUUUAACAUUACAGCUUGCAUGAUUAAACGUCCAUACUGUUCACCAUAAGCACUAGGCGCUGGAAGUCAGGUGACAGAAACGGCAAUCAUCCUUAUAAUGAGUAUAGGAUACAACUUUGCAUGGCCGUCAGUAAGUCUUGUUAAAAUUAAAGCUAAUGACUCCCCGGUAAUGUUGACAGCCAAGCAGGCUUCGUGGGCCGUAAGUCUUCAAGUUUUUGGAGCAAUUUUUGGGCCUAUUAUGGCUACGGCCAUCGUUGGCAUCGGCCAAGAUUGGCAGGAAAAUCUCUUUUACUCACUGCUAUUCCAUUAUUAACAUUAGGAAUGUUAAUCGUCAUCGCCAGGACUUACAUUUUACUCUUUACAUACUUACCUCUAUAUAGCCAGGUAUUGUAUAAUCAUCAAUUAGGAUAUUAGAUCAUUUUUUAAAAAAUAUUAUUAUAAUAACUAAUGAUAAUAACUCUUGUGAUUUUAAUCAUUGCACUUAGAAAAGUUCAAAGCAUUUAAUAAUAAUUAUAUAUUAUAAUUACACAGACAAUACGCAAAUCCUAAAGUCAUCUAUAAGAUUCCAAAAAGACAACUUCUAAUGCAUAUAUGUGUUAAAGAUGACUUUUGCACAGUAUAUUUUCUGGGUAUAUGUAUAUCGCCAGUAUAAAAGAAUCAUUGAGGUUUCGCAUUAUAGUAUCAGCAAGAUAAACAGAUGAUGAAUAAUAAAAUUAUUAAUAAUCAA